GAUUAACGCUGGCGGCGUGCAUAACACAUGCAAGUCGAACGAUGAAACUUAAAUGAUUUCUUCGGAAUGAACUUAAGUGGAUUAGUGGCGGACGGGUGAGUAACGCGUGAGUAACCUGCCUUACACAAGGGGAUAGCCGUUGGAAACGACGAAUAAUACCCUAUGAAACUAUCACUUCGCAUGAAGCGAUAGUCAAAGUGUUAGCGGUGUAAGAUGGACUUGCGUCUGAUUAGCUAGUUGGUGAGAAAAAAGCCCACCAAGGCAACGAGCAGUAGCCGGCUUGAGAGAGGGUACGGGCACAUUGGGACUGGGGCACGGCCCAGACUCCUACGGGAGGCGGGAGUGGGGAAUUUUGGAGAAGGGGGGGAACCCUGGUGCGGCGGAGGCGGGAGAUUUAGAAGGCCUUCGGGUUGUAAAAAUCUUUUGUAUAGGAAGAAAAUGACAGUACUAUACGAAUAAGGGCCGGCUAAUUACGUG
rnacentral:rRNA from 1 species